GGCGUGUCAGGUCCUGCCGACUGCAGCCUAACUUACUGCACCUGUUCUGGAGCCUCACACUCCCUGACUGACUCACACACAGAAACCGGAGUUCUGGUGGCACCUGCAGCGUGGCCCCAACUCAGCUGGGACGAGGCUUGGACACAUCCAAAACCAACGCCACCACCAGCACCUCCCUCCCUCCCUUCACACCUCUGCCCCACUACCCAGACACUAACCCCAAACUCUAGGACACUGGGUCCACAGACAUGGCACCAAAACUCCAGUGUUUCACUGUGGGGCUGACCGGAUAUGCCGCACUGUAGACCAGCAUUUCACUGUGGGGCUGACCGGAUAUGCUUCACUGUAGACCAACGUCACCCUAACUAGCAAAUGCAUGUUGCAAAUGCAUUUUGGAUCGUCUAAUUUGAAAAUGGGAUCACAAGAGAAGUUUUGUAUAAAACCAACUGUGCUUAGUCCACAGAACUGGGGUAAUGUGAAUAAUCUCAGAUAAAUAAACAAGGCAGAUUCUGUUUGCUGCUUACUGACAGAAACAUUGAUUUGUCUUCUGGUUCCCUUGGAAACCUAGAGUGGACAUAAUCAGUCAAAAAAUCGGAUUGGGGUAGAGUAUCAAUGAUGAUGUUCUUUUAUUACACAAAAGCUAACACAAUGAAUUGCCUGACCUGUUCUUGAUGUUUUCUUGACCUUCAAAAUACAUGCACAUGUUAAUUUAGCAGACACAUAUCCAGACCAACUUAGUACUGAGGGCGUACAUCUCAAAGGAUUUAAUUGUGGCCAGUUGAAGUAAUCGAACCUACAACACAUGAUUUACCGGUUUAGCAACCAAAAAUCUAUCCAGUGCAUUUCAAACCACACAUCAUUUAAAUGUAAAAUUAUUGCAGGUCUGUAAUAAACUUUAACCGACUGUCAUAACAAUUACAUCACUUGCUGAUUAUCUCACUGUUUUGUUACACUGGGGGGUUGCAGGACACUUUGGGGACACAACAAUGAGAUCACAGGAAAGACCAACUAAUUUGGCAUCCUCUGCUGCAGACAGGCCGCUGUAAACCCCUGACCAGAGACACGCCUCUAUAAGGCCGUGGUGGGUCCUCACACGAUAACCCAACGAGGCAAAGCAUUA
rnacentral:lncRNA from 1 species